AGGGCGCACGGUGGAUGCCUUGGCACUAGAAGCCGAUGAAGGACGUGACUAACGACGAAAUGCUUUGGGGAGCUGUAAGUGAGCAAUGAUCCAGAGAUGUCCGAAUGGGGGAACCCGGCAGGUAAUGCCUGUCACUCAUUACUGUUAAGGUAAUGUAGAGGAAGACGCAGUGAACUGAAACAUCUAAGUAGCUGUAGGAAGAGAAAGCAAAAGCGAUUGCCUUAGUAGCGGCGAGCGAAACGGCAAGAGGGCAAACCGAAGAGUUUACUCUUCGGGGUUGUAGGACUGCAACGUGGACUUAAAGAUUAUAGAAGAACUACCUGGGAAGGUAGGCCAAAGAGAGUAAUAGCCUCGUAUUCGAAAUAGUCUUUAUACCUAGCAGUAUCCUGAGUACGGCGAGACACGAGAAAUCUCGUCGGAAUCUGGGAGGACCAUCUCCCAACCCUAAAUACUCUCUAGUGACCGAUAGUGAACCAGUACCGUGAGGGAAAGGUGAAAAGCACCCCGGGAGGGGAGUGAAACAGUACCUGAAACCGUGCGCCCACGAGCAGUCGGAGCACCCUUCGGGGUGUGACGGCGUGCCUUUUGUAGAAUGAGCCAGCGAGUCGCUGGCGCGGGGCGAGGUUAACCGAAAGGGAGCCGGAGCGAAAGCGAGCCUUAACAGGGCGACUUGAGUCCCGCGCCGCGGACGCGAAGCCGGGUGAGCUAUCCGUGGGCAGGCUGAAGCGGGGGUAAGACCCCGUGGAGGGCCGAACGCACGUCGGUUGAAAACGGCGGCGAUGACCUGCGGAUAGGGGUGAAAGGCCAAUCAAACCCGGAGAUAUCUCGUUCUCCCCGAAAUAGCUUUAGGGCUAGCGUCGCGCGUUCACCGCCGGAGGUAGAGCACCGGAUGGACGAGGGGGCUUCGCCGCCUACCGAAUCCAACCGAACUCCGAAUGCCGGCGGCCCAGAGCGCGGCAGUCAGAGCAUGUGGGCUAAGCUGUGUGCUCGAGAGGGAAACAGCCCGGACCGCCCGCUAAGGUCCCCAAGUUCCAGCCGAGUGGCAAAGGAUGUGCGUCCGCCCAGACAACCAGGAUGUUGGCUUAGAAGCAGCCAUCCAUUCAAAGAGUGCGUAACAGCUCACUGGUCGAGUGGACAUGCGCCGACAAUACACGGGGCUAAGCUGGACACCGAAGCGGCGGGAUUUUACCUAAGUAGAAUCGGUAGGGGAGCUUCCCAUGGGCGGAGAAGCCGGAGGGCGACCGACGGUGGAGCGCAUGGGAGUGAGAAUGCUGGCAUGAGUAGCGAGAGACGAGAGAGUAACUCGUCCGCCGUGAACCCGAGGUUUCCUGGGCAAGGCUAAUCCUCCCAGGGUCAGUCGGGGGCUAAGGCGAGGCCGGUAGGCGUAGCCGACGCGCAGCAGGCAGACAUUCCUGCACCGCGCACGCGGCGCUACGACCGACGGGGCGACGGAUGGGGGUGGCUCGGCGGGGUUCUGGACGUCCCCGUGAUGGAGCGCGGCCCGCGGACCAGGGAAAUCCGGUCCGCACACAGGGCGAGGCUCCGGACGAAGCGACUGAGCGAAGCGAGUGAGCCCGAGGUCCCUAGAAAAACCCCUAGGCAGGCGCGUGCGCGCCCGUACCGCAAACCGACACAGGUGGGUGGGUAGAACAUACCGAGGCGAUCGGGUCAACCAUGGUCAAGGAACUCGGCACAAUGGCCCCGUAACUUCGGGAGAAGGGGUGCCCGCGCGUACGUGAACCGGCUUGCCCGGGGAGCGGAGGCGGGCCGCAGUGGAGAGGCCCAAGCGACUGUUUACCAAAAACACAGGACUCUGCAGAAGCCGCAAGGCGACGUAUAGGGUCUGACGCCUGCCCGGUGCCGGAAGGUCACGCGGAGGAGUUAGCCGUUAAGGCGAAGCCCCGAAGCCAAGCCCCGGUAAACGGCGGCCGUAACUAUAACGGUCCUAAGGUAGCGAAAUUCCUUGUCGGGUAAGUUCCGACCUGCACGAAAGGCGCAACGACUUGGGCGCUGUCUCGACCAUGGACCCGGUGAAAUUGCACUGGUCGUGAAGAUGCGACUUACCCGCGGAAGGACGGAAAGACCCCGUGAACCUUCACUGCAGCUUGGCAUUGGCCGCUGGUCCCGCGUGUAGAGGAUAGGCAGGAGGCACAGAUCCGGAGGCGCCAGCCCCCGGGGAGCCGCCCUUGGAAUACUGCCCUCGCGCGACCGGCGUCCUAACCCGAGGCCGUCAACCGGCUCGGGGACCGUGCCAGGCGGGCAGUUUGACUGGGGCGGUCGCCUCCUAAAAAGUAACGGAGGCGUUCAAAGGUUCGCUCAGCUUGAACGGAAAUCAAGCAAAAGAGUGCAAACGCAGAAGCGAGCCUAACUGCGAGACUGACGGGUCGAGCAGUAACGAAAGUUGGAGUUAGUGAUCCGGUGGUAUGUGAGUGGAAAUGCCAUCGCUCAACGGAUAAAAGUUACCCUGGGGAUAACAGGCUGAUCUCCCCCAAGAGUCCACAUCGACGGGGAGGUUUGGCACCUCGAUGUCGGCUCAUCGCAUCCUGGGGCUGUAUUCGGUCCCAAGGGUUUGGCUGUUCGCCAAUUAAAGCGGUACGCGAGCUGGGUUCAGAACGUCGUGAGACAGUUCGGUCCCUAUCUGUCGUGGGCGCAGGAUAUUUGAUGGGAGCUGUCCCUAGUACGAGAGGACCGGGACGGACGUACCUCUGGCGCACCAGUUGUUCUGCCAAGAGCAUAGCUGGGCAACUACGUACGGAUCGGAUAAACGCUGAAAGCAUCUAAGCGUGAAGCCGACCCAAAGAUAAGAUAUCCCAUUGU
rnacentral:rRNA from 1 species